rnacentral:lncRNA from 1 species
CCCCAAACCGCCUUUUCCCCCAUUUUUAACCCUUUCUCCACCAUUUUUUGCCCGUUUUUUGCCCGAUUUUCGCCGUUUUUUGCCCAAUUUUCGCCGUUUUUGCCCCAUUUUUUCGCCCUUUUCCCCCUCCCAGUACAAACCAGUACAAACCAGUAUAAACCAGUACUAAACCAGUCCCACCUGGGGGUACUCCCAGCCGAGGCUCUCCAGGCGCUGCCGCAGCCGCCGCUGCCGAAGCCGCUCCGCCCCCAAAAGUUCCCCCAAAUUUGGGCGAAUUUGGGGCAUUUUGGGGAAAAAUUUGGGGUUUUUGGGAUUUUCGGGGGUUUGGGAAAGAUUUUUGGGGGUUUUGGGGUCGGUUUUGGGGCAAAAUUCGGGGUUUUUGGGGAGGUUUUGGGGGAGAUUUUCGGGUUUUUGGGGGAGGUUUUCGGGGUGAAUUUGGGGGAUUUUGGGGUUUUUGGGGAGAUUUUCGGGGAUUUUGGGGAAGUUUUGGGGGUUUUUGGGGAGAUUUUCAGGGAUUUUGGGGUUUUGGGGGAGAUUUUCGGGGUUUUGGGGGAAAUUUUGGGGGUUUUUGGGGAGAUUUUCGGGUUUUUUAGGGAAGAUUUCGGGGAAAGUUUUGGGGUCGAUUUCGAAGUUUUGGGAGAAAUUUUUGGGGUUUUUGGGGUCGAUUUUGGGGGUUUUGGGGAAGUUUUGGGAGAUUUUGGGGAGAUUUUCGGGGUUUUUGGGGGUAAUUUCGGGGUUUUUAGUGAAGUUUUGGGAGAUUUUGGGGAGAUUUUCAGGGUUUUUUGGGAAGUUUUGGGGGUUUUUGGGGAGAUUUUCGGGGUUUUUAGGGAAGAUUUGGGGGAAAUUUUUGGGGUUUUUGGGGUCAAUUUCGGGAUUUUUGGGGAAGUUUUUGGGGUUUUUGGGGAGAUUUUCGGGGUUUUUGGGGAAGUUUUGGGAGAUUUUGGGGAGAUUUUCGGGAUUUUGGGGCAAUUCAGGAGGAAUUUGGAGGGGAAUUUUGAGGGAAUUUUCAGGGUUUUUGGAGAGGAUUUGGGGAAUUUCUGUGGAAUUUUCGGGGUUUUUUGGGGCGUUUUGGGGGAUUUGGAGAUUUUUGGGUGGAAUUUGGGGGAUUUUGGAAGGAUUUGGGGGAUUUUUGGGGGGUCCCAGGAGGAAAUCCCAAAUCUGUUCCCGUUUCUCCCUCAGGCGCCGCUGCAGCUCCGGGAGCAGCCGGGGCAGGAUCGGGGAGACCUGGAAAAUGGGGCAAAAAACGGGAAUUUUGGGAAAAUUUGGGGGAUUUUGGGAAAAUUUGGGGGAUUUGAGGAAAAUUUGGGGGAUUUUGGGGAAUUUUGGGGGAUUUUGAGGGAAAUUUGGGGGAUUUGGGGGGAAAUUUGA